rnacentral:lncRNA from 1 species
ACAAGCCUAUAAAACUUUCAGCGAGUGAAGUCAAACUUGCUAAUCUUUUAGAUACAGAAAAGAAUCCUACCUUCACACAAAUUGAUGGGGCAAUAUCUGCAGGCAUAGAUCAAACUCCCACUUCAAGUGUUGCUGAAACAAAUUCUGUAUUCAGCAACUCAUCAAAAAGUCAAACUAUAUUUUAAUUGUCACCAUCAGUUGAAUUUUCUGGUAAUGUUAAAAGUAGUUGCAGGAACACAUCUUCUCAAGCAUCGAGGUUAAUUCCAAAAAGAUUAAAACUACCUGGUGAAACU